AUUGAACGCUGGCGGCAGGCUUAACACAUGCAAGUCGGGCGGGGUGAUGGUGCUUGCACUAUCACUUAGCGGCGGACGGGUGAGUAAUGCUUAGGAAUCUGCCUAUUAGUGGGGGACAACAUCUCGAAAGGGAUGCUAAUACCGCAUACGUCCUACGGGAGAAGGCAGGGGAUCACUUGUGACCUUGCGCUAAUAGAUGAGCCUAAGUCGGAUUAGCUAGUUGGUGGGGUAAAGGCCUACCAAGGCGACGAUCUGUAGCGGGUCUGAGAGGAUGAUCCGACACACUGGGACUGAGACACGGCCCAGACUCCUACGGGAGGCAGCAGUGGGGAAUAUUGGACAAUGGGGGGAACCCUGAUCCAGCCAUGCCGCGUGUGUGAAGAAGGCCUUAUGGUUGUAAAGCACUUUAAGCGAGGAGGAGGCUCUUUUGGUUAAUACCCAAGAUGAGUGGACGUUACUCGCAGAAUAAGCACCGGCUAACUCUGUGCCAGCAGCCGCCGUAA
rnacentral:rRNA from 1 species